UCUACCGCACCAGAAAUGUUUAUCAAAACCCAGGUUAAUUGCCAAAAUAGUGAGACUGCAAACUGAAAAUCCUGAUCAUCCCUAACAGAGCUAACAUAUGAUACCCAUGUUCAACAUAAAUAUUUCUUCAGUUUCUCAAAAGUUUCUCCAACAGCAGCACCUAUCUGUGAUCAUCAUGGUGGUAGUCUUGGGCAGACAGAAUGAAAUUUCAGCCGAAGAGAACUGCAAUAUUCCUACAGAAUAUGGUUCCAUCAACAUUUUCCUCAACCGACUGUAGCUUUGGGACCUACUUCUCAUGUGCUGUGGUGGAUGUGAUCAAGCCAGUUCAUGUGCUGAGACGGUCUUUCCAACAUCUAUGGGGUUAAUUUUGCAGCAAAGUCAGAAGGGAAUUGCUGUCAUUUCCAGUACAGGGCAGGAAGGAAAAAGCCAGCACAGAGCCGCUGUUAAUUCAGUGAAGAAACAUUGCUGGAAUACACAAAAUGGACAGGGCGCAGAAUCUGGCUGCAGAGGACAUUUGAGUGGAAGGUACUGGACAUGAGAGAGACUUAAGGCUGCAUUUGUUAUUCUUUUUAAAUCGUUCUGCCUAAAUUAAGCAAACUCACUUAACAUACAGAUUGUAACUUCUGGGGGAAUUCUGCGCACACAUUUUAAAAUUUCGCAACUUUCUGCAUAUUUUAUUUGUCAAAACAACACAAUAAAAUCAUGCCGGUUUCAA